rnacentral:lncRNA from 1 species
GUGAUUAUUAUUAUUUGACCAUGCUGGUCAUUUAUUAACAUUUGAACAUCUUGGCCAUGUUCUGUUAUAAUCUCCACCCGGCACAGCCAGAAGAGGACUGGCCACCCCUCAUAGCCUGGUUCCUCUCUAGAAAGGCCAAAACCUAGGAAGAAACCUAGAGAGGAACCAGGCUGUGAGGGGUGGCCAGUCCCCUUCUGGCUGUGCCGGGUGGAGAUUAUAACAGAACAUGGCCAAGAUGUUCAAAUGUUAAUAAAUGACCAGCAUGGUCAAAUAAUAAUAAUCACAGUAGUUGUCGAGGGUGCAACAUGUCAGCACCUCAGGAGUAAAUGUCAUUGGCUUUUCAUAGCCGAUCAUUGAGAGUAUCUCUACCGCUUCUGCUGUCUUUAGAGAGUUGAAAACAGCAGGUCUGGGACAGGUAGCACGUCCGGUGAACAGGUCAGGUUUCCAUAGCCGCAGGCAGAACAGUUGAAACUGGAGCAGCAGCACAGCCAGGUGAACUGGGGACAGCAAGGAGUCAUCAUGCCAGGUAGUCCUGAGGCAUGGUCCUAGGGCUUAGAUCCUCCGAGAGAGCGAAAGAGAGAAUUAGAGAGAGCAUACUUAAAUUCACACAGGACACCGGAUAAGACAGGAGCAAUACUCCAGAUAUAACAGACUGACCAUAGCCCCCUGACACAAACUACUGCAGCAUAAAUACUGGAAGCUGAGACAGGAGGGGUCCGGAGACACUGUGGCCCCAUCCGAUGAUACCCCCGGACAGGGCCAAACAGGCUGGAGAUAACCCCACCCACUUUGCCAAAGCACAGCCCCCACACCCUUAGAGGGAUACCUUCAACCACCAACUUACCAUCCUGAGACAAGGCCGAGUAUAGCCCACAAAGAUCUCUGCCACGGCACAACCCAAGCGGGGGCGCCAACCCAGACAGGAAGACCACGUCAGUGACUCAACCCACUCAAGUGACGCACCCCUCCUAGGGACGGCUUUAGGAGCACCAGUAAUCCAGUGACUCAGCCCCUGUAAUAUGGUUAGAGGCAGAGAAUCCCAGUGGAGAGAGGGGAACCGGACAGGCAGAGACCGCAAUGGCGG